CCUACGGGGUGCAGCAGUGGGGAAUAUUGGGCAAUGGGCGCAAGCCUGACCCAGCCACGCCGCGUGAAGGAAGACGGCCCUAGGGUUGUAAACUUCUUUUACCAAGGACGAAACAAAUGACGGUACUUGAUGCAUAAGCCACGGCUAACUACGUGCCAGGAGUCGCGGUAAUACGUCGGUGGCAAGAGUUAUCCGGAUUUAAUUGGUGUAAGGGGCGUGUAGGCGGGACUGCAAGUCAGAUGGGAAAACCAUGGGGCCAACCCAUGGCCUGCAGUUGAAACUGUAGUUCUUGAGUGUUGGAGAGGCAUGCGGAAUGCCGGGUGUAGCGGUGAAAUGCGUAGAUAUACGGAGGAACACCAGUUGCGAAGGCGGCCUGCUGGACAAUAACUGACGCUGAGGCGCGAAAGCGUGGGGAGCAAACAGGAUUAGAUACCCUAGUAGUC
rnacentral:rRNA from 1 species